CACAGUUAAAGAUUUGGCACACCUGCUUAUAAUUGACAAUGCUGCUUUGUCAUCUACCCUACCGGAUGUAUGUACAGCUUUAAUACUUUUCCUCACAUUACCAGUGACGGUGGCAUCUGCAGAAAGAUCAUUUUCCAAAUUAUCUCUGAUUAAAAAUUACUUGAGAAACAGCAUGUCACAACAACGGCUUUCUGGCCUUGCCCUUCUAAGCAUUGAGAAUGAAAGAGCAAGAAAACUGGACAUUCCAGCUAUUGUUGACAAAUUUGCUGAGUCUAAAGCGAGACGGCGCAACUUCUAGUAAUAUGUAUUUUGCGUAAGUGAGCAGUUUGUUGGGUACAGGGAGUUAUAUUAUCAAAGUUCAUACUAACCCAGUUCAAUUUAUUCAACUUUGGUUGUACUAAACAGUUAACUAGUUUGGUUCUAUUUUAGCUGCCUUCUUUUUGGUAACAAUGAUGCAGAUUAAUAAACAAUUCUGAUGUUGUUAGACUCUAAAACACAACGACCGCCUUUGAACUAUUUGAAUACAGCACUGGUUUCUGCACAACAAAAGCUUAAUAUCAAAAAGAAGGCAGAUGUUACCAACAUCAAAAAUACUUAACAUAAUUACUAAAUGCUACCAUCUCCUUUCCUACAGUGAGAACAAAUUGGUUCCUUUCUACUUGAUGCCUCCUCGUUGGACCUGGCUGGUUAAUUUUGAUGUUUCAUUUGGAUUUCUGUUCUGGUUAAGAAGCAUGACUCGUUCCUUUUCACAUUCAAAUUUUGUGAGAACAAAUUGGUUCCUUUCUACUUGAUGCCUCCUCGUUGGACCUGGCUGGUUAAUUUUGAUGUUUCAUUUGGAUUUCUGUUCUGGUUAAGAAGCAUGACUCGUUCCUUUUCACAUUCAAAUUUUGUGAGAACAAAUUGGUUCCUUUCUACUUGAUGCCUCCUCGUUGGACCUGGCUGGUUAAUUUUGAUGUUUUAUUUGGAUUUCUGUUCUUGUUAAG